rnacentral:rRNA from 1 species
UACGGGGGGGAGCAAGCGUUGUUCGGAUUUACUGGGCGUAAAGGGCGCGUAGGCGGCGCAACAAGUCACUUGUGAAAUCUCCGGGCUUAACCCGGAGCGGCCAAGUGAUACUGUCGUGCUAGAGUGCGGAAGGGGCUACUGGAAUUCUCGGUGUAGCGGUGAAAUGCGUAGAUAUCGAGAGGAACACCUGCGGCGAAGGCGAGUCCCUGGACAACACCUGACACUGAGGCACGAAAGCUAGGGGAGCAAACAGG